CCUACGGGUGGCUGCAGUGGGGAAUAUUGCACAAUGGGCGCAAGCCUGAUGCAGCCAUGCCGCGUGUGUGAAGAAGGCCUUCGGGUUGUAAAGCACUUUCAGCGGGGAGGAAGGCGGUGAGGUUAAUAACCUCAUCGAUUGACGUUACCCGCAGAAGAAGCACCGGCUAACUCCGUGCCAGCAGCCGCGGUAAUACGGAGGGUGCAAGCGUUACUCGGAAUUACUGGGCGUAAAGCGCACGCAGGCGGUCUGUCAAGUCGGAUGUGAAAUCCCCGGGCUCAACCUGGGAACUGCAUUCGAAACUGGCAGGCUAGAGUCUUGUAGAGGGGGGUAGAAUUCCAGGUGGAGCGGUGAAAUGCGUAGAGGUCUGGAGGAAUACCGGUGGCGAAGGCGGCCCCCUGGACAAAGACUGACGCUCAGGUGCGAAAGCGUGGGGAGCAAACAGGAUUAGAUACCCCAGUAGUC
rnacentral:rRNA from 1 species